CCUACGGGAGGCAGCAGUGAGGAAUAUUGGUCAAUGGGCGAGAGCCUGAACCAGCCAAGUCGCGUGAGGGAGUACUGCCCUCUGGGUUGUAAACCUCUUUUGUCGGGGAGCAAAAGCCGGACGUGUCCGGCUUUGAGAGUACCCGAAGAAAAAGCAUCGGAUAACUCCGUGCCAGCAGCCGCGGUAAUACGGAGGAUGCGAGCGUUAACCGGCUUUAUUUGGUUUAAAGGGUGCGCAGGCGGAUUUUUAAGUCAGCGGUCCAAUCGUGGGGCUCAACCCCAUCCAGCCGUUGACACUGGGGAUCUAGAGUGUGCGAGAGGUAUGCGGAAUGCGUGGUGUAGCGGUGAAAUGCAUAGAUAGCACGCAGAACCCCGAUUGCGAAGGCAGCAUACCGGUGCACAACUGACGCUCAGGCACGAAAGCGUGGGUAUCGAACAGGAUUAGAUACCCUAGUAGUC
rnacentral:rRNA from 1 species